rnacentral:lncRNA from 1 species
GAGUGGUGAGAUCAGCACAACUGAUAUAGCGUGACUAUGCCCCCAAGGUGUUUGCUCAAAUGCCAGUAAGGUCAGACACUAUCGUGAACGCAUUAGGUCUCUUGCUGCUACUGCUAUGGUAAACUUGAUCUUUUCUCAUUGCAUCCUUAUGGCCUCAACGAGUAUUUAUUUUUUUUGCAAUAGUGCCACAGUGCCACUGGUGUGGAGUACGCUGUAUUUUGCAAGGCCCUGAAAGUCUGCGUAUUUUAGUCUGCUUGAUAGGUUCUUUGAUACGCCGUGUAACUGGACAGUGCAGUACGUGCCCAGUCUCAGGAUGAGAAUAAAAAAAGGAGGAAUCAAGUUCAUCCUUGAACAUUGUCCGAGCUGCUAUUCUCAGGUUUGUGCUUGUGUAAAUAGUCUUUUAUUGUAGCAUACAUCAUUACUUGAUCCAGGCGUAAUGGGUUAGCUUGAUAACUAAAAAAUCAUAUAGUCGUGAUUUUGUAAAUCAGUGGCAGUUAGAAAUUACUUUUCAUCAAUCAUGAUGUCGAAUACAACCACAUCUAAACCUCCCAAUGAAAUAAUGGUCAAAGUACUUUGAUAGUUUGUUUGAAACUCCUAAUGACAUGUUGGUCAAGUUACCUUGAUAGUUGAGACAGACAUUAUUGUGUACUUCGUCAGAUGCUUCCCAUAAACAGUAAAUUUCAGGAAAAACUGUGUCUAUUUUUUUUCCUUUUGUCAAGAGUGCAGAUUUAUGUCUGUAAAUAAAUACUCUCACAUUUUUGUGUUAUUGUAGUAUUCUCAACUUUUGCUAUACCAUAGGUUGGUGGUCUUCUUCUCCACCGAAGGUCCUAAAGUCAAAAAUACCUUCGGCAAAAUGAUACAAUAGCUUGUCGAAGCUACCUUCAGCCUCGGCUCAGCUCCUCAAGCCGAAGCUCAAUAGCUUUGGCCCAGACCUAGCAAAGAAGGAAAAGAACUAGAUAGACUUUAUUAGUUUUAAUUACUUGUAAACAAGUGUUUGGGGGCAUGGAUGUAAUCUUAUCCGGGCUACGUCCCAUGCCUAUAAAUAGAUGAACAGUGCCCUGUACUGUUAAGGCUGGAUUGCAAUCGUGCUCGAGUCAUUCUCGCUCUUUCACCUUCCGGCAAGCCGAAUGUACCAUUGUAAUAUGAAUAUUAUUAAAGUUUAUUCAUGUUUAAUGAAGAUAAAUAAAUCAUAAAUAUAUGACGGA